rnacentral:lncRNA from 1 species
UCUUCAUAUCCAAGCGCAUCUCAGGCUGUGUAGAAACAUAUCCAAGGACUCAGGGGUGAUAGUCAAUAAGGCAAUUAUCCAUGUUAACCGCUGUAGAAAACUUCAUCUCACAGAGUCACAUUUGCAGGGACAACCAUAGUCUUGAACCUCCUCCAUUUAUCACAAGAUAAAUUCCUUCUCUGAAACAUAAGUAAUGGAGGCAAUAUCUCAGAAUAAUCCCAAACAUAAUCAAGAUGCAUGCGUGAUGAUUUAUAAAAUGGUUUCUAUAAACCUCCAAGUUCCUCAUUUUUUACGAUGGCAGCAGAUGCUCGACCAAGUACUCUUAUUCCCGUUCUACGCCUCGCCUUGGUCGCUGCUGGUAGAUUUUGAUUGGAGAUCGUGCUACAUGCCAAAAAUGCUAAAGUUGCCUUUUAUGACUUAGAAAAGGAACACCAAAGCCAGUUGCUUACAUGAAACCCAUGCUCAUACUUGAAGAACCUUAGUUUUCAUUCUUAACCCCUCUGCUAAAAAACGACAUCAUGGUGUAAAUAUACUGGGAGAAUCAGCUGUUUAAUAUUUACAAAGUACAAAUUAAGACAAAAUAAAAUAAAAGAAGUUAUACAUGAAAGAAGAUGCUCCAGUUUUACUGUUUCCCUCAUCGUAGUUGGGACGUUCAGAGACAAUGCGAAUGUUCAAUAUUCAGAUGGACAAAGAAGAUAAGAUUCAGCUUCUGGAUGCGCGCCUGACGUCCCCGAGGAUCAGCGCGGCGGAGGCGAGCGCGACGACCAGGGGCCCCGCGGCGGCCGCCAGCGCCCGUCGCGCGGCCUCGGCGACGCGGCCCGCCGCCAGGUN